UGGACUUACAGACAGGGGCAAAAAAUAAAUCCUCUUUUGCAACCCAGAACUCAUUGUUCAGUAUGAGUUUUGAUACAUAUAAGAAGGAACAUU
rnacentral:snoRNA from 1 species